rnacentral:rRNA from 1 species
UGCCAGCCGCCGCGGUAAUACGGAGGGGGUUAGCGUUAUUCAAAAUGAUUGGGCGUAAAGCGCACGUAGGUGGUGAUAUGUAUCCAUAAUUAUUCAGGCUACAAGUCUUGUCGAUAUUUAUGAUGUAUAUGUAUUUCUUGAGGGUGUGAGAGGAGCAUGGAAUUUCCUAGGAAGCGGUAGAAUGUGUUGAUCUAGGAAGGAACACCAAUAGCGAAAGCAGUGCUCUGGCACAUUCCUGACAUUGAGGUGCGAAAGCGUGGGGAUCAAAAGGGAUUAGAUA